AAGAAGGUCUUCGGAUUGUAAAGCUCUUUAAGCAGGGAAGAAGGAAGUGACGGUACCUGCAGAAUAAGCCACGGCUAACUACGUGCCACCAGCCGCGGUAAUACGUAGGUGGCAAGCGUUAUCCGGAAUUACUGGGCGUAAAGGGUGUGUAGGCGGGAGGACAAGUCAGAUGUGAAAAUUACGGGCUUAACCCGUAACCUGCAUUUGAAACUGUUCUUCUUGAGGAUGGGAGAGGUAAACGGAAUUCCCGGUGUAGCGGUGAAAUGCGU
rnacentral:rRNA from 1 species